rnacentral:rRNA from 1 species
AUGAGCGAGUUGCAUGUUCUGGUUGCAUGCUCCUGCAUGCCUACCCCAACCGGGUAUGCUAGUUCUACAAGUACUGGUUUUAUAAGCAUAGACUGUGGCCUGCCGGCGAAUGCCGUCGGCUACGUGGACAACACGACGAAGCUGCGGUUCACCGGCGACGCUGGUUUUACCGACGCAGGCAGUAACCAUAACAUCUCUGCCCAGUACAUCACCCCGACGAUGCCCUGGGGCUGGCACACCGUCCGCAGCUUCCCCACCGGCGCACGCAACUGCUACACGCUCCGGCCACUCGUGUCGGCAGGGCCCAAGUAUCUCGUCCGCGCCAUGUUCAAGUACGGCAAUUACGACGGUCUUGACAUGCUUCCCAUCUUCGACCUCCACCUCGGGGUUAACUAUUGGAAGACGGUGAACAUCUCAGAUGCAAGCUCACCGACGAUUGAGGAAGUCGUCGUUGUGGUCCCUGGCGGUUCCGUGCAGGUGUGCCUCGUGAAUACUGGCUCAGGGACGCCGUUUAUCUCCAGCCUAAACCUGAGUCCCCACAAGAGCGAGCUCUACCCGCAGGUCAAUGAGACGCAAGGGCUCCGUUCUUGUCACCAGGACCAACUUUGGAACUCCCAAGAAUGUCAGUGGUCAGAGAUCUCAACGACCAAGAGUGUGAUCAAGGUCGACAGCUUCGAAGUGCCAUCUGCCGUUAUGCAAACCGCCAUCAAGCCCCUUAACUCCUCCGCCCCCAUCCGAUUCCACUGGGACGCGGAACCGAACGCCAACAACCCCAUCCCAAGGUAUAUUUGCAUGUUGUACUUUGCAGAGCUAGAGAGCAACGCGGUGCAUGAGUUUUAUAUCACCAUGAAUGGCAAGCUCUUGUAUCCUCUCGUCAUGUCGCCCCGGUACCUUGUAACCGAUGCCAUCUACAACGACAAACCCUACCAUGGGAACCUAUCUUCUAUGGGUCUGAGUGGUAACAUCUCGUCUUCUUUUGGGGAUCUCAGAGGAUUAGAGUACUUGGAUUUGUCACGCAAUAAUCUGACGGGCUCCAUUCCUGACAGUCUUUCACAAUCUUCAUCCCUUAAACUUCUUGAUUUGACAGGAAAUCGGCUUACAGGAGAAAUUCCUUCCAGGCUUCUGAAAAGAAGUCAAGAUGGCUUCCUAACUCUCAGGUUAUGGGCGGCGGUCUGUAGGCCAAAGAAGUUUGGAGGAUUGGGAAUCCUUAACUCCAAACUCCGCUUCAAGGCGCCAACGACCUUCUCGAAGUAUAUGGUCAGGUUGGCGUUGCGGCUCAGGUUCACUUCCGGGGCGUACUCAAUGCCCGAUACCACCAUGAUGGCCAGCUGGUCGGCGGCCGAGUUUGCGACGGCGGCAAGGCGCUCAAGCCAGCGUUUCUGGCCCGCCUUGUGA